rnacentral:rRNA from 1 species
GAUGAACGCUAGCGGCAGGCUUAAUACAUGCAAGUCGAGGGGCAGCAGGUCUGUAGCAAUACAGAUGCUGGCGACCGGCAAACGGGUGCGGAACACGUACAGAACCUUCCUUCGAGCGGGGAAUAGCCCAGAGAAAUUUGGAUUAAUACCCCAUAGUACAUUGAAGAGGCAUCUCUUUAAUAUUAAAGAUUUAUCACUUGAAGAUGGCUGUGCGGCUGAUUAGGUAGUUGGCGGGGUAACGGCCCACCAAGCCUACGAUCAGUAACUGGUGUGAGAGCACGACCAGUCACACGGGCACUGAGACACGGGCCCGACUCCUACGGGAGGCAGCAGUAAGGAAUAUUGGUCAAUGGACGCAAGUCUGAACCAGCCAUGCCGCGUGGAGGAUGAAGGUCCUCUGG